UCAUCAAGAGCAGUGGAGGGACCGGCCCUGUGAAGCUGCGGCAACCUGCCUGAGUCGGGUAAGGUGCCAAUUCCAGUAGGUUUUGACCUAGCAGAUGA
rnacentral:ncRNA from 1 species